GGGCCCGCACAAGCGGUGGAGUAUGUGGUUUAAUUCGAUGCAACGCGAACGAAGCCUUACCAGGGGUUUAGCAUCCUGCUGAAUUUGACAGGGAAACCGAAUGUGCCUUCGGAACGCAGUGACAGGUGGUGCAUGGCUGUCGUCAGCUCGUGUCGUGAGAUGUUGGUUAAGUCCCGCAACGAGCGCAACCCACGUCUUUAGUUGCCAGCAUUUAGUUGGGCACUCUAGAGAGACUGCCGGUGAUAAACCGGAGGAAGGUGUGGAUGACGUCAAGUCAUCAUGCCCCUUACAUCCUGGGCUACACACGUACUACAAUGCUACGGACAAAGGGCAGCAAGUUCGCGAGGACAAG
rnacentral:rRNA from 1 species